CCUCCUCCACAGCUACCAGUGCCCUUCAGACCACUGUUUUCAUGGCAUCAAGUUCAGAAAAGUUCAGAGACUGCCUAAGAAGGUGCUCCGGGGAUAGAAGUAGAAAGGAGCAGAGAAGUCAUCUUGUUGUCGUGUUAUUUAUUCUACCGAGGGGGAAAAAUGCCACCCUGAGAAGCAAAGUGACUCCUGGGAGAGGCUGCUGGUCACUCCUGGUUCAGGACAAUGAGCUGCUUGCAAAAUCAUUCCCUUCGUUUUGCCCCACAAUGAAGCCUCACAAGCUCUCUAGAUCUGACUGGCUAUUCAAGGGAAGGACAGAUGGAACAGCGGAGGAGGCUGUCUUAACUUCUGAGGUCUGCUCUUCAGUGCCAUUUCUAACCUCUCAGACACUGACCUAAGCUAAGGACAAUAUUUGUGCUUUUCUAAGAAGGUGGUAAAAUAUUUGCACUUGGAAAUACAGAGCGAUAACACUUUAAUGUGGACUAACCUUAUCGGGAUUAGGUAAAUACAGCCAAAGCAAAACAAAAAGUAUUUUAGAAACUGGGACCAACGCAAACAAAUGUAUAGAAAACACUUUUGAAGGGCACCUAGUUCUAAUUAACAUUUGUAUUUAUGAAUGACCUUAGUUAUCGCCCCUAAAUAAAGUAUUUGUUGUACACUGCAGAGAGAGUCAGUGGCCCCACCCUUCCACAGGUCACAAAGUUUUGCAUUUCUGUCAAAGUAGCUGGACUGCGGAGCAGCUUUUAAUCAGAUAUAUGGACCACCACUGGAAAAUCAGACCCAGGUUCCUUUUCUAACCCUUAAUGCUGAGCUGGGUGACAUUCACACUCUGCCCCCAAUCCUGAUGUCAAAGACUAAGAUUUUUUUUUUUUUUUUUGGUUUGGUACCGGGCAUUGAACUCGGGACCUGUCACUUGCGAGGCAGGUGGCAGAACCACUGAGCUAAAUCCCCGGCCCUAAGAUAUUUUUAAAAAUGUGUUAAAAACACAUAACACGAAAUGUACGAUCAUAACCAUCUUGCAGAUUGCUAGAACUUCACCAUCGCUGCAUAACGGAAAGCCUACCCCUUAAGGGACAAGUGCCCAUCUGCUGGUCCCCCUUCCUGGACAGUCAUAGUCUCCUUUUUCUUUCAAUGAGUUUGGUUCCUUUAGAUACUGAAUGUGUGUGAAGUCAUGCAGUCUUUGUGUUUUUGUGGCUGGCUUAUUUCAUUUAGCCAAAGCCCCUAUGACAUGUGAUGUGCAAGUGAAUGGCUGAGGGCUGGGUCCUGGCUGACGUUCCCAGAAAUGGGUGCCAUACUAGAAAAAUCUACUUGUAAAAGGGGAAAAAUAGCACAUUGGAUUACAUGUGAUCAGGCAUCAUGG
rnacentral:lncRNA from 1 species